rnacentral:rRNA from 1 species
UACGUAGGGCGCGAGCGUUAUCCGGAUUCACUGGGCGUAAAGCGCGUUGAGGCGGCUCCGUAAGUUGGGCGUGAAAGCCCCGGGCUCAACCCGGGGAGGCCGUCCAAUACUGCGGGGCUUGAGGGCAGCAGAGGGGGGUGGAAUUCCCGGUGUAGUGGUGAAAUGCGUAGAUAUUGGGAGGAACACCCGUGGCGAAGGCGGCCUCCUGGACUGCUCCUGACGCUGAAGGCGAAAGCCAGGGGAGCGAACGGG